rnacentral:rRNA from 1 species
GCAAGUCGAACGCGAAAUUUUUUCUUCGGAGGAUCGAGUAGAGUGGCGCACGGGUGAGUAACGCGUAAGUUAUCUACCCUCCCAUCUGGAAUAACUCACCGAAAGGUGUGCUAAUACCGGAUACGUUGAUUUAUCAAGAAAGGUGGCCUCUGUUUCAUGCUACCGUGGGGGGAUGAGCUUGCGUACCAUUAGCUAGUUGGUAGGGUAAUGGCCUACCAAGGCAACGAUGGUUAGCGGGUCUGAGAGGAUGAUC